GCAUGUCUAAGUAUAAGCAAUUAUACAGCGAAACUGCGAAUGGCUCAUUAUAUAAGUUAUCGUUUAUUUGAUAGUGCCUUACUACUUGGAUAACCGUGGUAAUUCUAGAGCUAAUACAUGCUAAAAAUCCCGACUCCGGAAGGGAUGUAUUUAUUAGAUUAAAAACCAAUGCCCUCUGGGCUCCUUGGUGAUUCAUGAUAACUUUCGAAUCGCACGGCCUUGCGCCGGCGAUGGCUCAUUCAAAUUUCUUCCCUAUCAACUUUCGAUGUUUGGGUAGUGGCCAAACAUGGUGGCAACGGGUAACGGAGGGUUAGGGCUCGACCCCGGAGAAGGAGCCUGAGAAACGGCUACUACAUCCAAGGAAGGCAGCAGGCGCGCAAAUUACCCAAUCCCGACACGGGGAGGUAGUGACAAUAAAUACUGAUACAGGGCUCUUUUGGGUCUUGUAAUUGGAAUGAGUACAAUUUAAAUCCCUUAACGAGGAACAAUUGGAGGGCAAGUCUGGUGCCAGCAGCCGCGGUAAUUCCAGCUCCAAUAGCGUAUAUUAAAGUUGUUGUGGUUAAAAAGCUCGUAGUUGAACCUUGGGCCUGGCUGGCCGGUCCGCCUCACCGCGUGCACUGGUCCGGCCGGGCCUUUCCCUCUGUGGAACCCCAUGCCCUUCACUGGGUGUGGCGGGGAAACAGGACUUUUACUUUGAAAAAAUUAGAGUGCUCCAGGCAGGCCUAUGCUCGAAUACAUUAGCAUGGAAUAAUGAAAUAGGACGUGCGGUUCUAUUUUGUUGGUUUCUAGGACCGCCGUAAUGAUUAAUAGGGACAGUCGGGGGCAUCAGUAUUCAAUUGUCAGAGGUGAAAUUCUUGGAUUUAUUGAAGACUAACUACUGCGAAAGCAUUUGCCAAGGAUGUUUUCAUUAAUCAGGAACGAAAGUUAGGGGAUCGAAGACGAUCAGAUACCGUCGUAGUCUUAACCAUAAACUAUGCCGACUAGGGAUCGGACGAUGUUAUUUUUUGACUCGUUCGGCACCUUACGAGAAAUCAAAGUGCUUGGGCUCCAGGGGGA
rnacentral:rRNA from 1 species